UAUUGGCGCAAACCAUGGCCACUCCUGGACCAAGAAAACAAAAAUCCUCCCUCCUCCUCCUCCUCCUCCUCCUAGACUUGUCUGGAUCUCAGUCGGUCUGCUCUCUUGCUCUCUCUCACUCUUCGAUCUCCUAAUGACUGUAUGCCCUCUCUGCCCCUGAUCUCUCCCACUUUUGCUGAAACUCUCAUCUCUAACACCUCGGUUAAAUUACCCAACCCCAACGAAACCCAGAAAUUAUCUGUGGGUCUAAUCGGUAUGAUUAUGGGCUUUUCAUCGACAAAGAACAAAUUUCUUUUUCCUCAUUAUGAAUCAUGAUGAGAUGGUUGAAAUCAGUCCCGCAGGAAUAAGGAAGUCCAAGAUUUUACCUUCUGGAUAUGCUGUCUAGAGAUCAAAUGGUGGUAAGCUUGUUUGCAAAUGGUGUUUGAGUCUUCUGCCAUGAUGAGCUUGCUAAGUGCUAUGCAAAUACUACAAGAUCGUAUAAGCUGAGCACCCGCUUUUUGUUAUUAAUUGGGAGAGUAGGAAUUCAGAUGGAUCUGAUAUAUGAAAGACACCAAGUCAAGAAGAUGAUGAACUUGCUUGUGCACUUGCCAUGCCUUUGUGUGAUUCGGAGCCCGACAGAUGAAAGAAAUGCCAUGAAGAAGUAAAGUUCAAUUUCCUUCUAUUGAGGGGUUGUUAUCUACAUGCACAAAGCUUCCACAGAUGAAGGAACACCUAGCUGUUCCAGUGGGAAACCUUCUUGUGAUGGUAUGCUCAACGUAGCCCUAUUAUCAUCUAAUUCAUUGUUCAAAUGAAAGAAUCUAGUUUAUUGGUAGCGAGCAUACAUCUAUUAGAAUUGAUGAGGUCAAGCAAAAUAAGUUGCAGUCUGGAUUAGCUUUGAAGGAUAUAGAAAAUUAGGAGCAGAAGAGGCUUAUUGAGAUUGCUUGUGCUUGUUUAGGAAUCAGUUUCCUUCCGAAACAAUGCAUGUUGUUCUUCCGUCGCGCUCUACUCUCACUAAAGCUCUAACAUUUUUUGUUAGUUCUCUUGACACUGGGCGUUUAGGUUUGCUACUCUCUUUGCCAACAAGUAGCCUCUUUUAUGGUUUUGACAAUCCAAAAUAUUCUUGAAGAUUGUCAAAUAGAAUAUGAGAUAAGGCUCAACCUUGUGGCUGCUGCCAGCAGACAUUCAAAUGGAAGGGUUUCUUCCUGCAAUUUACAAGCAAGUUUAGGUUCUGCCAUUUUGCGAGACUGGGUGAUAUAACUUCUCCAUUUUGUGGGACUGCCUACUUGUCAAGUGGAAAUGGUUUGUGUGAGGCUUUGCAUUGUGGCUCGAGAUUUCUGGUAUUGCUGUGGUUUUAAGGUGUUGCUGCAGUGCUUAUCUUGCAACUGUGUAGAAUCCUUGUUGCUGAAGCUGUACCAAGAUGGCAUGACAAAGCAUUGAUCUCCAGAACAAUGUAAAUCGCAGAAGCAGAAGGCAAUGGCAAUGCAGUAAAUCACAUCAAAUGAUAGGGGCAAAAACGUCUGCACAAUUCAUAAGGGAAACCGUACUUUAGUAUAUGUAAUAUAAUUUGCUGAUUACUUUAUUUAUUUAUUUUUUGGGGUAAAUAAUUCAGUAGAGAGAGAGCAUUUUUGUGCCCAACGAAAAAGAAA